rnacentral:rRNA from 1 species
GUCUACGGCCACACCACCCUGAACGCGCCCGAUCUCGUCUGAUCUCGGAAGCUAAGCAGGGUCGGGCCUGGUUAGUACUUGGAUGGGAGACUGAGCCACCCAGGUGCUCCUGGUCU